AUUGAACGCUGGCGGCAGGCCUAACACAUGCAAGUCGAACGAGUGGCGGACGGGGGAGUAAUGUCUGGGAAACCGCCUGAUGGAGGGGUAUCACUACUGGAAACGGUAUCUAAUACCGCAUACCAUCAGAUGUGCCCCUAUGGGUUUAGCUAGUUGGUGGGGUAACGGCUCACCAAGGCGACGAUCCCUAGCUGGUCUGAGAGGAUGACAAGCCACACGGGAACUGAGACACGGUCCAGACUCCUACGGGAGGAAGCAGUGGGGAAUAUUGCACAAUGGGCGCAAGCAUGAUACAGCCAUGCCGCGUGUAUGAAGAAGGCCUUAGGGUUGUAAAGUACUUUCAGCGGGGAGGCGUUACCCACAGAAGAAGCACCGGCUAACUCCGUGCCAGCAGCCGCGGUAAUUC
rnacentral:rRNA from 1 species